AAAUUUGUUUAUUGAGUGGCAUCAGGCAUAUUGUUUAUUGAGUGGAAACAGAGGCAUCAGUCGUAUUCUCAGUUGGGUUGUCCUCCGAUCCGAGUCGAGUAGCAGAGCAGUAGAAGAAGACGUAGUUGAUUCUGAAUCGAUCAAUCAUCAUCAUCAUCAUCAUCAAUGGCGUUUAUGAGGGGAGAACCGCUGGUGGCGAAACUGGCAGUCCUGGCAAAGUAUGCAGUGCUUCCUGGAGCCAUGGUGGCUGCUCUGAUCUACUCUCCUCCCGACUACUCUUCUUCCAAGAAACACUCCUCCUCCUCCUCCAAGUAGAUUAUGGAUCUACAUCUCUCCUUCAAUUCCAACGGGAUACAAGGUGUCUCUUUGGAGAUGUGCUGGGCUCAGUUGGGUGUGGUUCUGGUAUGUAAUAAUCCUGUUAGCUCUUCUUUGUUGCUGUAUUCCAUAUGUAGGCAUAUGGGAAUAUGAAUAGUUUAUGUUCCUUUGAAGAACCUUUGAGUAGUUCUUUUCCUGAUACUUUACAAACAAUAAAAUGGAGUUGAAUUGGAUUAAUGCAAGUUGUUCCUUUAAUCCCAUCAUUUAAUUCAUGGAUCUUAUUACUGUGUGGAGUGUGCUUUGAAUUGA